rnacentral:rRNA from 1 species
AGUCACUGACAUUAGAUACCCCGGUAGUCCUAGCCGUAAACGAUACUCGCUAGGUGUCGGCCACGGUGCGACCGUUGUCGGUGCCGUAGGGAAGCCGUGAAGCGAGCCACCUGGGAAGUACGGCCGCAAGGCUGAAACUUAAAGGAAUUGGCGGGGAGCACCACAAGAGGUGGAGGCUGCGGUUCAAUUGGACUCAACGCCGGAAAACUCAUCGGGAGCGACAGCAGUAUGAUUGCCAGGUAGAUGACCUUGCUUGACAAGCUG